rnacentral:rRNA from 1 species
GACGAACGCUGGCGGCGUGCCUAAUACAUGCAAGUCGAACGGUUUAGUUCCAAGAGGCUUGCCUUUUGGAACUAGACAGUGGCGGACGGGUGAGUAACACGUAGGCAACCUACCUGUCAAACCGGGAUAACCUCGGGAAACCGAAGCUAAACCCGGAUAAGCUCCUUUUUCGCAUGAAGGGGGAGUGAAAAGGUGCGACCUGAUGACAGAUGGGCCUGCGGCGCAUUAGCUAGUAGGUAGGGUAACGGCCUACCUAGGCGAUGAUGCGUAGCCGACCUGAGAGGGCGUACGGCCACACUGGGACUGAGAUACGGCCCAGACUCCUACGGGAGGCAGCAGUAGGGAAUCUUCGGCAAUGGGCGAAAGCCUGACCGAGCAACGCCGCGUGAGUGAGGAUGGCCUUCGGGUUGUAAAACUCUGUUGUUUGGGAAGAAGGGAAAGGGUAGGACCCUUAGGUGACGGUACCAAACGAGAAAGCCCCGGCUAACUACGUG